rnacentral:rRNA from 1 species
UGACUAGCUAACUGAAUCAACGGUGUGUCAUCGUUGAUAAAGUAAGGGAAAAGAAAUGAUACUACCUUACUAUUAGUGUCGUCCAAGUACUCGUGCCAGAAGACUCGGUAAGGCGAGAGACGCAAACGUUAGUCGUCCUAAUCAGGCGUAAAGGGUUUGUAGGCGGUUUUAAGCAUUUAAUCCUUUAAAAUCACAAUUUUAAUAUUAUUAAAAAUAAAAAAGGGAGACAAUCAAUUAAAACUAGAAUCAAGAAGAGGUUAAAUUAAAUAAUACUUGGCGUAAGAUUGGUAUCUAUAGAGACCAAGUGGAAUACUAACGGCGAAGGCUUUUUUCCAAUAAUGAUUGACGCUAAGAAACUAAGGUGAGGAUAGAAAAAAGGAUUAGAGACCCUAGUAUCCCUCACUGUCAACGAUGAAUGGUAGUUACUAGAUAUAUGAAUAUUUGAAUAUUCAUUACCCAAAGGGUAAUCCAAAUCUAGAGGCGAUGUUAACACGAAAACCAUUCCGCCUUGUGAGUACGACUGCAAAGUUGAAAACAAAAAAAUUAGUCGGUUUCGGAGCAAACGAAGUGAAGCAUGUUUUUUAAUUAAAAAAUUCCGC